CAGUGCUGUUCACUGCCCCUCCGUGACCCCGGGGUGAUGUAGCUCCCUGGUGAUCACCGUCUGCCUUGUCUCCUGUGAGAGCCAGCAGCCAGCUCUGCACACACCAGCUGUGUCCAUUCCUGCAGCUGACUCUGCCGGGGUCCAGCUCCCUCCUGCCCACAGGGGCACGUUCCCUCCAAGAGGCUGGACUUUGCCCCGUUCCCAUGAACCUUUCACAAGGUGCAAAGCCUUUCUUUACGUCUACCUGUGACUUUCCUUCCUGAUUCCUUCCCCAAACGUGCAUGCGUCUUUCUCUAUUUCCAGUCCCUUGGGUUACGAACUCCCGAAGUGAAGAGAAAUAUACUGGAAGAACCAGGUGUCUAGAGAGAAGGCUUUAGAAAGGACGGGUGGCUUCAGCACCCACCAGGGCAGGACAUCCCAGAUUCCAAGUAUUUUCAAUCUCUCCUCCAGAUAAAAGGAGCAAAUGCCAGCUGAAUGGGUGGCCAACUGCUUCUGUCUGCCAGCAGUCUCGAACUUACUUUGAAUAAGAGUGAUGCACUGAAACCCUUUGAAAUGUAUGACGUGCGCCCUGUUCUUCGUCAUGUUCACCAAAAGUUUAUAAACUUUGUGAUGCCACGUGUUCAAGCCACCCACGUCCUGGACCGAAGGAUUGACUUUGAAUGAAACCAAAACUCCUGUUCAUCGCAAGCCAAAGACCGCGGCCACCUGGAUCCAUUAGGCGCGCUAAUACCUCUGGGGAACGCCACCUGCCAAUCAGGAAAAGCGGGGAAUCUGGAUCCGUCUUCAAACGCUGCUCCUGCCCCCGGCCAGGGCAGAGGGACGCUGGCUGAGGGCAGUGUAAGAGCCGUGGGGACGUGGUCCUGGAUGCACGAGGAAGAGCUGACCGUGCCGCGUUCCACGUCGCUGAGCCCUGCCGCGCGCCUCGUGGGCCGCCUGGGAGCCCUCGGCGCGCUGGGAAGCCGUGGGAAGAAGAGAGGAAGCUGGCGUUGGUCAGGAGCCCGAUUCUAAAAGGACACCCUUUGACUUUUAUACCUUUGGUCUGAGAGUAUGGCGGGAACGAAGAGAAGAAGCGGAGGCAGAAAGGACUGAGCCGGCGGCCUUUGGUAGGUAAGCUCUGUGCGGAGCUCUGUUCUUCCGCAGCCCCAAGCCCGCCUUCCCCGUGGGUGGGACAGCGGUCAUGCUGCCUAAGGUUGAGGGGGCAGGCGUACGGGUACCCGCUAGGACCACGUAGAGACGGUUAGCUCCCUAGGCUGAUGCUGGCAGAGGGGAGGCUGCAGAAACCAGGCGGUUGAAACCAGAGAGAACAGACAGCAGGAUGCACGACCGGGGACGCCAUCCUGCCUGGGAGCCUCCUGGCGCCCACUGUGUGGUUCCAGCCCAGCUGCCUCACCUCCUCCCAGGAGCCUCUUGGAAGUGCACAUUCUCAGCCCCACUCGAGAUGCCCCCGCCUCAGUCAGGGACUCGGGGUGGGACAGGUGGGCACGAGGGCGUGAACUCAGCAGUGAGUGGUUUCACUACUCUUUUUCGUUUAAAACCUAUUUUGUGUGUUGAAGUCUAGUUGCUGCACAGUUUAUGUCCGUUGCAGGUAUCUACCAUCGUGACUCCCUACUUUGAAACGUUCUAUUGCAUGUGUCGUUAUUAUAAAGUAUUGGCUAUAUUCUCCGUGUUGCACAGUAUCUCUUUGUGGCAUAUUUUAUACCUAAGAGUCUGUACCUCUUACUCCCCUCCCCUCCCCUGCCCCUCCCCCCGCUGGUUACCACUGGCUUGUUCUCUAGAUCUGUGAGUCUGCUUUGUUCUUCUUAUACUUAGUUUGUUGUAUUCUUUUAGAUUCCACAUAUAACUGAUGUCAUAAGUAUCUGUCUUUCUCUGACUUCACUUUGCAUGAUACCCCUCCCGGUCCAUCCAUGUUGCUGCAAAGAGUAUCUGCAUGAAAAAGCACUUCAAGGAGAUUCAAGUACAUGGUCAAGGUUGAUCGCCAUGGCUUAGAAGGAGGACUUUGUUGGUUUAAAAAAAAAAAAAAAAUUAGGAGUUUCUGUCGUGGCUCUGUGGUGAAUGAAUCCAGCUAGGAACC